rnacentral:rRNA from 1 species
UGCCAGCCGCCGCGGUAACACGGGGGGCGCAAGCGUUAUUCGGAAUUAUUGGGCGUAAAGGGCGCGCAGGCGGUCUUGUCCGUCAGGUGUGAAAGCUCGGGGCUCAACCCCGGAAGUGCACUUGAAACAGCAAGACUUGAAUACGGUAGAGGAGAGAGGAAUUCCUGGUGUAGAGGUGAAAUUCGUAGAUAUCAGGAGGAACACCGAUGGCGAAGGCAGGUUACUGGCGCAUGAUUGACGCUGAUGUGCGAAAGCGUAGGGAGCGAACAGGAUUAGAUA